rnacentral:rRNA from 1 species
CCAGACUCCUACGGGAGGCAGCAGUGGGGAAUAUUGCACAAUGGGGGAAACCCUGAUGCAGCAACGCCGCGUGAGUGAAGAAGUCAUUCGUGAUGUAAAGCUCUAUCAGCAGGGAAGAAAAUGACGGUACCUGAGUAAGAAGCCCCGGCUAACUACGUGCCAGCAGCCGCGGUAAUACGUAGGUGGCGAGCGUUGUCCGGAUUUACUGGGCGUAAAGGGAGCGUAGGCGGAUUUUUAAGUGAGAUGUGAAAUACUCGGGCUCAACUUGAGUGCUGCAUUUCAAACUGGAAGUCUAGAGUGCAGGAGAGGAGAAUGGAAUUCCUAGUGUAGCGGUGAAAUGCGUAGAUAUUAGGAGGAACACCAGUGGCGAAGGCGGCCUGCUGGACAGUAACUGACGUUGAGGCUCGAAAGCGUGGGGAGCAAACAGGAUUAGAUACCCCUGUACAU